rnacentral:tRNA from 1 species
UGGUUGAGUGGUUAAACACUUGGCUUCUAACCUAGGGUCAUGGGUUCGAAUCUCAGU